rnacentral:siRNA from 1 species
UACGUAUAGUUUCUGGUGUAC